rfam:Ixodes scapularis strain Wikel colony gcontig_1108379361508, whole genome shotgun sequence.
UCCUGGUUAGUUCAGUUGGUAGAGCGCUCCACUGAAAGUGGAGACGUUCCUGGUUCGAUACCAGGAACAGGCG